UAAAAUCAUCAUCGACUAUCACGACUAAGAAAUGGAAAUAUAUAAAGGACCAAAUUGACAAUAAAGUUUAAAAAGAGUGGUGAAAUAGGUGAAACGAAAGUCAUUGGGGGUAAAACUUCAAAACAUAAAAUGUUUAUGGGCUAAUUGUGCAGUAAUAAAAAACUAAUACUGGCGUUGGUCGAUAACCUAACGCCCGGAAACCCUUCGCAGCCUGCUGUUCACUUUCUCCGACACAGUAAUGAUGGCGGACGUAGUACAAUACAAGCUCGAGCGCAUGGUGAAUGAUAUCGAAGACCUUGAGCGCCAUGGCUUGUGCACUGGAAUUGCCGAUUUGGUCAAACAACGCCGGAAGUCCCCUGAAGCAUGAUUACUUAGCGUACAUCGACUACCAGAAGUCUCUCGAUGCGCUCCUUCUCAUCCAUAAGAAAGGGAUUUACCGGAGAGAUCUUCAACAACUUUGAACAUAUGGUUGUAAACAUUCAUAGCAAUUCUUAAACCUUGGAGAUUUUUUCAAGCUUGCUAAAUUUGGUCUAUUCAUGAAUGCAACAGCUAGUGAUAAAGCUCUGGGGAAUGUAGAGGUGUUCGUGUUCUAUGGUGGAGUUAUUGGAGUGAUAUGUUCUUCAUAUCACUUAUAAAACUUAGCUUCAUAAUCAUAACAUGUUUUUUUUAAUGCAUUUAGCUCAUAAUUUUUGUUAAAUGCAAGGAUGUAAGGAGACUCGAUCAUAUGUAUGCUCCAACUAUCUGUCAAGAAUCAGCCUCCAAUUCCUAUUACAAUAUUGAAAUAAAGGAUGCAUAUAUUCCUCAA